rnacentral:rRNA from 1 species
CUGACCUCAAAUCAGGUGGGACUACCCGCUGAACUUAAGCAUAUCAAUAAGCGGAGGAAAAGAAACUAACAAGGAUUCCCCUAGUAACUGCGAGUGAAGCGGGAAGAGCUCAAAUUUAAAAUCUGGCG